rnacentral:ncRNA from 1 species
UGAGAUAGAGGUUGCGUUAGCUAUUAGUAGCAUUCUGGAUGUGGCAGGCACAGAAGAAGGUUUGUGAAAGGGGUAUACGCCGAAAGAAUCGGAUGUCUGUAGUCUGAUUCUUGGGCAUGCAUUUAAGAGAUGCAUGACUGUCAUCGAUGAGAUGGGGCGCUAUC